rnacentral:rRNA from 1 species
GACGAACGCUGGCGGCGUGCUUAACACAUGCAAGUCGAACGGAAAGGCCCUGCUUUUGUGGGGUGCUCGAGUGGCGAACGGGUGAGUAACACGUGAGUAACCUGCCCUUGACUUUGGGAUAACUUCAGGAAACUGGGGCUAAUACCGGAUAGGAGCUCCUGCUGCAUGGUGGGGGUUGGAAAGUUUCGGCGGUUGGGGAUGGACUCGCGGCUUAUCAGCUUGUUGGUGGGGUAGUGGCUUACCAAGGCUUUGACGGAUAGCCGGCCUGAGAGGGUGACCGGCCACAUAGGGACUGAGGUACGGCCCAGACUCGUACGGGAGGCAGAAGUGGGGAAUAUUACACAAUGGGCGGAAGCCUGAUGCAGCAACGCCGCGUGCGGGAUGACGGCCUUCGGGUUGUAAACCGCUUUCGCCUGUGACGAAGCGUGAGUGACGGUAAUGGGUAAAGAAGCAACGGCUAACUACGUG